UGCAGUCGAGCGGAGGAGGUAGAUCGUGCUCGCUCGUGACGGCGGGCGGAUGGGUGAGGCUUGUGUGUCUGCCUGUCAGUGGGGGGCAACAUUUUACAGGGAAUGCUGGUACCGCACACGUCCUAUCGGAGAACCCAAGGGAUCGACCUUCCUUGCGCUAGUCGACGAACCUGUCUCGAAGGAACUAGUUGGUGGGGUAGGGGCCGGCCCAGGCGAGCAUCUGUAGCGGGUCGGACAGGAUGAACCACCACCCUGGGACUGACACACAGCCCAUACUCCUACGGGAGGCAGCCGUGGGGAAGAAUGAAUAAUGGGUGGGCGCCUGAGCCAGCCAUGCCGCGUGUGUGAAGAAGGACUUAUGGUUGUUGAUCACUUUUUCGAGGAGGAGGCUACGUGAUUUAGUACCUGCAGAUAGUGGACGUUGCUCCCAGAAUAAGAACCGGCUAACUCUGUGCCGCCAGCCGCGGUAAUACAGAGGGUGCAAUCGUUAUUCGGAUUUACUGGGCGUAAAGCACGCGUAGGCAGCUAAUUACAUCAAAUGUGAUAUCCCCGAGCUGAACUUGCGAAGUGCAUUCGAUACUGGUUAUCUGAAGUGUGGGAAAGGAUGGGGGAAAUUACGCGUGUAGCGGUGAAUUGCUUACAGAUCUGUAGGAAUACCUAUGGAGGAAGCCGCCCUUCCUGACCUAAAACUGACGCUCAGGUGCUGAAACAUGGGGAGCAAACCAGGGAGUAUAUACCCCUGGUUAUCCUAUGCCCGUAUACGACUGAUCUACUAGUCGAUGAGUGCCUAUGUAGGGCUUUUAGGUGGUCCCCACCAUAUCACUGACUAAAUAUACCCGCC
rnacentral:rRNA from 1 species